rnacentral:rRNA from 1 species
AUUGAACGCUGGCGGCAUGCUUUACACAUGCAAGUCGAACGGUAACAGGUUAAGCUGACGAGUGGCGAACGGGUGAGUAAUGUAUCGGAACAUGUCCGGAAGUGGGGGAUAACGUAGCGAAAGUUACGCUAAUACCGCAUAUGCCCUGAGGGGGAAAGGUGGGGAUCGCAAGACCUAUCGCUUUCGGAGUGGCCGAUAUCAGAUUAGCUUGUUGGUGAGGUAAAGGCUCACCAAGGCGACGAUCUGUAGCUGGUCUGAGAGGACGACCAGCCACACUGGGACUGAGACACGGCCCAGACUCCUACGGGAGGCAGCAGUGGGGAAUUUUGGACAAUGGGGCAACCCUGAUCCAGCCAUGCCGCGUGAGUGAAGAAGGCCUUCGGGUUGUAAAGCUCUUUCAGAUGGAAAGAAAUCGCUAUUCCUAAUACGAGUGGUGGAUGACGGUACCGUCAGAAGAAGCACCGGCUAACUACGUGCCAGCCGCCGCAGUAAAAC